GGGUUGUGAGGUUAAGCGACUAAGCGUACACGGUGGAUGCCCUGGCAGUCAGAGGCGAUGAAGGACGUGCUAAUCUGCGAUAAGCGUCGGUAAGGUGAUAUGAACCGUUAUAACCGGCGAUUUCCGAAUGGGGAAACCCAGUGUGUUUCGACACACUAUCAUUAACUGAAUCCAUAGGUUAAUGAGGCGAACCGGGGGAACUGAAACAUCUAAGUACCCCGAGGAAAAGAAAUCAACCGAGAUUCCCCCAGUAGCGGCGAGCGAACGGGGAGGAGCCCAGAGCCUGAAUCAGUGUGUGUGUUAGUGGAAGCGUCUGGAAAGGCGCGCGAUACAGGGUGACAGCCCCGUACACAAAAAUGCACAUACUGUGAGCUCGAUGAGUAGGGCGGGACACGUGGUAUCCUGUCUGAAUAUGGGGGGACCAUCCUCCAAGGCUAAAUACUCCUGACUGACCGAUAGUGAACCAGUACCGUGAGGGAAAGGCGAAAAGAACCCCGGCGAGGGGAGUGAAAAAGAACCUGAAACCGUGUACGUACAAGCAGUGGGAGCCUCUUUUAUGGGGUGACUGCGUACCUUUUGUAUAAUGGGUCAGCGACUUAUAUUCUGUAGCAAGGUUAACCGAAUAGGGGAGCCGAAGGGAAACCGAGUCUUAACUGGGCGUUAAGUUGCAGGGUAUAGACCCGAAACCCGGUGAUCUAGCCAUGGGCAGGUUGAAGGUUGGGUAACACUAACUGGAGGACCGAACCGACUAAUGUUGAAAAAUUAGCGGAUGACUUGUGGCUGGGGGUGAAAGGCCAAUCAAACCGGGAGAUAGCUGGUUCUCCCCGAAAGCUAUUUAGGUAGCGCCUCGUGAAUUCAUCUCCGGGGGUAGAGCACUGUUUCGGCAAGGGGGUCAUCCCGACUUACCAACCCGAUGCAAACUGCGAAUACCGGAGAAUGUUAUCACGGGAGACACACGGCGGGUGCUAACGUCCGUCGUGAAGAGGGAAACAACCCAGACCGCCAGCUAAGGUCCCAAAGUCAUGGUUAAGUGGGAAACGAUGUGGGAAGGCCCAGACAGCCAGGAUGUUGGCUUAGAAGCAGCCAUCAUUUAAAGAAAGCGUAAUAGCUCACUGGUCGAGUCGGCCUGCGCGGAAGAUGUAACGGGGCUAAACCAUGCACCGAAGCUGCGGCAGCGACGCUUAUGCGUUGUUGGGUAGGGGAGCGUUCUGUAAGCCUGUGAAGGUGUACUGUGAGGUAUGCUGGAGGUAUCAGAAGUGCGAAUGCUGACAUAAGUAACGAUAAAGCGGGUGAAAAGCCCGCUCGCCGGAAGACCAAGGGUUCCUGUCCAACGUUAAUCGGGGCAGGGUGAGUCGACCCCUAAGGCGAGGCCGAAAGGCGUAGUCGAUGGGAAACAGGUUAAUAUUCCUGUACUUGGUGUUACUGCGAAGGGGGGACGGAGAAGGCUAUGUUGGCCGGGCGACGGUUGUCCCGGUUUAAGCGUGUAGGCUGGUUUUCCAGGCAAAUCCGGAAAAUCAAGGCUGAGGCGUGAUGACGAGGCACUACGGUGCUGAAGCAACAAAUGCCCUGCUUCCAGGAAAAGCCUCUAAGCAUCAGGUAACAUCAAAUCGUACCCCAAACCGACACAGGUGGUCAGGUAGAGAAUACCAAGGCGCUUGAGAGAACUCGGGUGAAGGAACUAGGCAAAAUGGUGCCGUAACUUCGGGAGAAGGCACGCUGAUAUGUAGGUGAAGCGACUUGCUCGUGGAGCUGAAAUCAGUCGAAGAUACCAGCUGGCUGCAACUGUUUAUUAAAAACACAGCACUGUGCAAACACGAAAGUGGACGUAUACGGUGUGACGCCUGCCCGGUGCCGGAAGGUUAAUUGAUGGGGUUAGCGGUAACGCGAAGCUCUUGAUCGAAGCCCCGGUAAACGGCGGCCGUAACUAUAACGGUCCUAAGGUAGCGAAAUUCCUUGUCGGGUAAGUUCCGACCUGCACGAAUGGCGUAAUGAUGGCCAGGCUGUCUCCACCCGAGACUCAGUGAAAUUGAACUCGCUGUGAAGAUGCAGUGUACCCGCGGCAAGACGGAAAGACCCCGUGAACCUUUACUAUAGCUUGACACUGAACAUUGAGCCUUGAUGUGUAGGAUAGGUGGGAGGCUUUGAAGUGUGGACGCCAGUCUGCAUGGAGCCGACCUUGAAAUACCACCCUUUAAUGU
rnacentral:rRNA from 1 species